rnacentral:rRNA from 1 species
AUACGGCCCAGACUCCUACGGGAGGCAGCAGUGGGGAAUAUUGCACAAUGGGCGAAAGCCUGAUGCAGCAACGCCGCGUGAACGAUGAAGGUCUUCGGAUCGUAAAGUUCUGUUGCAGGGGAAGAUAAUGACGGUACCCUGUGAGGAAGCCCCGGCUAACUACGUGCCAGCAGCCGCGGUAAUACGUAGGGGGCUAGCGUUAUCCGGAUUUACUGGGCGUAAAGGGUGCGUAGGUGGUCCUUCAAGUCGGUGGUUAAAGGCUACGGCUCAACCGUAGUAAGCCGCCGAAACUGGAGGACUUGAGUGCAGGAGAGGAAAGUGGAAUUCCCAGUGUAGCGGUGAAAUGCGUAGAUAUUGGGAGGAACACCAGUAGCGAAGGCGGCUUUCUGGACUGCAACUGACACUGAGGCACGAAAGCGUGGGUAGCAAACAGGAUUAGAUACCCUGGUAGUCCACGCUGUAAACGAUGAGUACUAGGUGUCGGGGGUUACCCCCCUCGGUGCCGCAGCUAACGCAUUAAGUACUCCGCCUGGGGAGUACGCACGCAAGUGUGAAACUCAAAGGAAUUGACGGGGACCCGCACAAGUAGCGGAGCAUGUGGUUUAAUUCGAAGCAACGCGAAGAACCUUACCUAAGCUUGACAUCCCUCGGACAGGUGUUUAAUCACACCCUUCCUUCGGGACUGAGGUGACAGGUGGUGCAUGGUUGUCGUCAGCUCGUGUCGUGAGAUGUUGGGUUAAGUCCCGCAACGAGCGCAACCCUUGUCUUUAGUUGCCAGCAUUCAGUUGGGCACUCUAGAGAGACUGCCAGGGAUAACCUGGAGGAAGGUGGGGAUGACGUCAAAUCAUCAUGCCCCUUAUGCUUAGGGCUACACACGUGCUACAAUGG